GCUGGGUGCAGUGGCGCAUACCUGUAAUCUCAGUUGCUUGGGAGGCUGAGACAGGAGGACUGUGAGUUCAAAACCAGCCUUAGCAAUGGUGAGGCACUAAGCAACUCAGUGAGACCCUGUCUUUA
rnacentral:sRNA from 1 species